rnacentral:tRNA from 1 species
GGCUCCGUGCGCUCAACGGCAGAGCGACCGCGAUACAGCAGCCCCCGACAAGGAGGGGGUCGCCCAGUACCGCGACGGAGGUGCAGGUUCGAUUCCUGCCGGAGCCC